UUGCCGCUGGCUCCUAUAUGGGGCGAGAGGAAAGUCCGGGCAGCAAGGGCGCCCCACUUCCGAAAAUAGAAGCUAUUGGUGACAGUAGGUGACGGCAGAAGAAAAUAACCGCCCUCUCUUGAGGGCAAGGGUGAGAAGGUGGUGUAAGAGACCACCAGACGAUGGGUGAUCAUCGUGCUGUGUCGGCUGGGGGCUGCAAAUUCAAGUAAACCGUCGUCUGAGGGAUGCCCGCCCGAAUCUUUACGACGGAGGGUAGAACGCUUGAGCCUAAGGGUGACUUUGGGCCUAGAUAAAUGGCAGGCAGCACAGUACUCUGUGACACAGAACCCGGCUUAUAGUGGCAC
rnacentral:RNase_P_RNA from 1 species